GUGGGCUGCAAUCUUCUUAUCGUCAACUUGAACAACCUAGAGGUGAUUGAUACCAUGAAGGACGGAGGACGGUUGGAGGGUGCGGCGGCGUCAAUUUUGGAUGAUUGUUUUCAUUUUGUUUGUGAUUUCCCUAUUUCUAGGUUCGAGCAUUGUAAUAGACAAGUAAAUAAAGUUGAUGAGGAGCUUGCUAGAAUGGCUAGAUUUUCUUUGACUUAUGAUUGGUUCCAGGAGCCUUUAAACGAAAUUGUAUCGAUCCUCAUAAAUGAUGUCAUGGUAAUUUCAAAUGAAUAA
rnacentral:rRNA from 1 species